rnacentral:rRNA from 1 species
AUUGAACGCUGGCGGCAGGCCUAACACAUGCAAGUCGAGCGGUAGCACAGGGAGCUUGCUCCUGGGUGACGAGCGGCGGACGGGUGAGUAAUGUCUGGGAAACUGCCUGAUGGAGGGGGAUAACUACUGGAAACGGUAGCUAAUACCGCAUAACGUCGCAAGACCAAAGAGGGGGACCUUCGGGCCUCUUGCCAUCAGAUGUGCCCAGAUGGGAUUAGCUAGUAGGUGGGGUAACGGCUCACCUAGGCGACGAUCCCUAGCUGGUCUGAGAGGAUGACCAGCCACACUGGAACUGAGACACGGUCCAGACUCCUACGGGAGGCAGCAGUGGGGAAUAUUGCACAAUGGGCGCAAGCCUGAUGCAGCCAUGCCGCGUGUAUGAAGAAGGCCUUCGGGUUGUAAAGUACUUUCAGCGGGGAGGAAGGUGUUGAGGUUAAUAACCUCAGCAAUUGACGUUACCCGCAGAAGAAGCACCGGCUAACUCCGUGCCAGCAGCCGCCGUAAAAC